AUGAUGGAAGAACUGCAUAGUCUGGACCCACGAAGGCAGGAAUUACUAGAGGCCAGGUUCACUGGAGUUGGUGUAAGUAAGGGACCACUCAACAGUGAGUCUUCCAACCAGAGUUUGUGCAGCGUGGGGUCCUUGAGUGAUAAAGAAGUAGAGACUCCUGAGGAAAAAGCAGAAUGACCUGCGAAAUCGGAAAAGGAAAGCUGAGCCAUAUGACACUAGCAAGGGAAAGGCACUUCUAGGGGGACAUAAACUUAGCGAUUCCUUUGAGUUUGCUGGGGGAAGCGGGCCAGGAACCAGCCCUGGCAGAAGUGUUCCACCAGAUGCAUGAUCCUCACCACAACAUUCCUUAUCCAAUCCCUUACCGCGUGGAGUAGAACAGCCUCUGUAUGGUUUAGAUGGCAGUGCAGCAAAGGAGGCCUCAGAAGAGCAGUCUGCUCUGCCCACCCUCAUGUCAGUGAUGUUAGCAAAACUGCGACUUGACACAGAGCAGUUGGCACCACAGGGAGCUGGCCUCUGCUUCACUUUCAUCUCUGCUCAACAAAACAGUCCUUCUUCUAUGGGUUCC
rnacentral:lncRNA from 1 species